rnacentral:rRNA from 1 species
GAUGAACGCUGGCGGCGUGCCUAAUACAUGCAAGUCGAGCGGACAGACGAGUAGUUUGCUCGUCUGACGUUAGCGGCGGACGGGUGUGUAACGCGUGUGUAACCUACCUAUAUUACUGGGAUAACUUCGGGAAACCGGAUCUAAUACCGGAGAAUGUAUUGUACCGUAUCGUUCAAGAGUGAAAGACGGUUGUGCUGUCACUUCUAGAUGUAUCCGCGCCGCAUUAGCUAGUUGGUAAGGUAACGCCUUACCAAGGCACCGAUGCGUAGCCGACCUGAGAGGGUGAUCGGCCACACUGGAACUGAGACACGGUCAAGACUCCUACGAGAGGCCGCAGUAGGGAAUCUUACGCAAUGGUCGAAAGUAUGACGCAGCAGCGCCGAGUGAGAGAUGAAGGUCUUGCGUUCGUAAAGAUCUGUUAUUAGGGAAGAACAACUGUGGAAAUAACUAUGCCCGUAUUGACGGUACCUAAUGAGAAAGCAACGGCUAACUACGUG